GGACGAGCCUCUGGAGAGACUCAUUGAGCACCGAAGGGGAAAGCCAAAUGGCGAAACUCUCAGGUAAAAGGACAGAGGAUGAUGG
rnacentral:ncRNA from 2 species